rnacentral:rRNA from 1 species
GAUGAACGCUGGCGGCGUGCUUAACACAUGCAAGUCGAACGGACUCAUAUUGAAACCUAGUGAUGUGUGAGUUAGUGGCGGACGGGUGAGUAACGCGUGGGCAACCUGCCGUAUACCGGGGGAUAACACUUAGAAAUAGGUGCUAAUACCGCAUAAGCGCACGGCUCCGCAUGGAGCAGUGUGAAAAACUCCGGUGGUAUACGAUGGGCCCGCGUCUGAUUAGCUGGUUGGCGGGGUAGAAGCCCACCAAGGCGACGAUCAGUAGCCGGCCUGAGAGGGCGGACGGCCACAUUGGGACUGAGACACGGCCCAA